UUUUUCCUUCGAUCUUUAUUAACAAAAUUUAUCUUUUCCUAGGAUACAAUUUUGUCUCGGCUCUUACUCAAUCUAUUCCUCCCAAUAGAAUUGAACCCGACUAAAGAACGAGCACUAAACCUAUCUCUCCUACACCUCGUGUAGUCCCAAGAGAAAACAAACACUCACCUUCUCAGCUUUUUGUUUUUCUAGCUUCGAAGUUUACAAUCACGUACAAAGAGUCUAAAGUGUUCAAAGUGGCUCGUGGCCA
rnacentral:lncRNA from 1 species